UCUUCGUGUGUUUGCUUUUUUUUUGGACAGUUUAAGUUCUGUUCCAGACUUGGUGUGUUCUCAUUCUUGUAUUUCAUUUUUGUUUAUUAGUUCUGUCCUUUGGGCAUUUCUCAGUUCCUUGCACUCUUCAAUUUUGGAACUUCUUGUUAUUAUUCUUUUAAAUCAUUAUUCAUUCCUUAGUUUAUUUUUAACAUUAGACUUUUAAAUCAGUAUUAAAUCUGAACUUUUUUUCAAUACAAACUGUGUACUGUAGCUCUGAAACCGUAGCUCACAUGGUUCAGUCUUCUAUAUAGUUUUCAAUCAUAUAAAUGUAUUUCAGAUCAACAAUGAGCAGUUAGUUUUGUAGAACCACGUGAAGCAGAAUCUCUUAUUAUUUUCAAUGUUGUUGCUGGAUAAGCAAUGGUCAGCUCAUCACUGUUUUUUUUAAUUCAUGUGGUUUUCAAUUGUCAUUAUCUUUGUAGGAGAUCAUUUCUAAGCAACAGUUUGUUUCAUUUAGUCUUUUUGUCCCUUUAGAGGAUUUCUUCAGUUUUUUAGGUCAGUAUUUACAUAUAGAGAAGGGAAGGCCAGGCAGGGGUAGCACUGCAAGUUCCACACUGCGCGCUCAUGGUAGGAUAGAAAUGGGAUUUGUUUUUGUAGGAUGAUUUAUAGAUGGGGGUUCGCUAUAUGCGAUCAGGAGGAUAGUUACAUCGAGCAAGUGUGCCAGGUAGCAGAUGAGGAGAGGGAUGCACUGUCCCAGCACUUGAUCGAAACUAGAGUCCACACCAUGGUUGCAGAGGAGGACCAAGAAGUAGUAGCAUCCAGAUCAUCAGGAGAUAGAAGCAAGGACCAACGACAAAAAGCGGAUCGAGGAAAGGAAAAACUGCAUUGACAGCUAAGCUAGGGAGAUCAGAUCAUAUUGUCCUCUUGAUUGAAUCAAUCUGCUAUUCUUUUCUCUCUGCUAUUAACUGUGCUUCAAGGUGCACUUCUCUUCUUAGUUGAUUCCAUUGGUACGGCGCUAAUUAACGUCACUGGAUAUGCCUCAGUGAUAUGUUGAACUACUUGGGAAGAAACUAAGCUGGCGCCUAUUAGCAACAUGCAAAGCAAAACAUUGCCUACUGACUGACUGGCUGUGUAUAUUGCUUUCACUGUUCGAUCCUACAUUCAAUAGAAUUGCAUGAUUUGGACAGUUAAGUUAGCAGCGCUACGCUACUAUAUGCUACCUUGAUACGCUUAAUAAACCCGGCUCUAGUCUCAUCUAGUUUAAAUCUUGAUGUGAGCAGGUGGAAGGGAGACACCCUCAUCCUGCUGCUGCUCGGCCUGGUGGCAUCGAACUGCAUGAAUGCAGUAGGUUGCUGUUUAUCUGGCAAAAAGAUAAGUGUUGGCAACAAGCAAGCAUUUAUGAGGUUGAGAGAAGAACCAGUAAUGUAGCUGCAUGGAAACUAAGAUUACCAUUUGUAGUUUAUAUUGUUUCAGUCGCUUGCUGUAAUCUGGAGGAAGAAUUUGUGAACAUAGUGGCAGUGAGUUAGUUGUUUAUGGACAUGUGUUUGGGCAGGAGCCAUAUGUGGCAGUGAGUUAGUUGUAAUGGUUGCGCCUACUCUGCUUAGAGCAGAGCAGAGUGUUGAUACUUAGAGAAGCAGAGGUUUUCUUUUGGCAGAGCAGAGCAGAGUGUUGAUAUGUAGAUGUCUGCCUUGCCUUUCAGUAGCCCUCUGAAAGAGUUUUUUUUUUUCUUCUUUUGGCAAUUUUGGAACUCUAACGUGAAUAAUAAGUAGAUAUCAAUUAAUUAACGCGGUCAGGCAAAGCAGUCCUCAGUUUGCAGCAUCUUUUGUUGUGCAGUAGUAUGGGCUGGUGCUGGAUGAUGGAAAGCUAUGGAAUAUCCCCGGCCAUGGUCAAAGCCCCUCCUCCAGCAAGCAAUGAACAAGAUCAUGAAGUUAAACCCUGCUCUUUAUGAGCUGUGGGAGAGAAUAAGAAAGGGUCUUCAGUUGUAUUCAUCUGAACCCACCGUGCCAUAUCUGUCUUCACAGAACUACGGAGGGAUGAUCAUCAAUCAAAUCAUAUGGUUUGUGGAUGACACAAAUGUCUAUCAAGUUACCAUUUCUUAUUUUCAAUCCAAGAACUGGUCAAGUAUUUCUGAAGGUUUCCUGUAUGGGCAGAAUAGUCCCCAAGUCAAGGAGAUGAGAUGCAUAUCCAUUCAGCCACAGCAUGGAACUCGCUCCAUUCAACUACGGUUGAAAAGAAAGAAAAUGGUGAUCAGGAUACUAACCAAAUACACUAAAUAGGACUCUGCUCCAGCUGGUCUGUGAUGUCCGAGUUAACAAGAGGCUGUACGGCACGCUUGACGCCCUCCUCGACCCACUCCAGCGACUCCCACCACCUCAUCUGGACAAGGGGGACGCUGAUGUUGCGCAGCCUCCGCGGCACGGUUCUCAUCAGGAAUGGGAGCCUCUUCAGCUUUGGACAGAAGGAUAUCUCCAUGGUCUCGAGGGAUGGGAAUGUCACCUCGGGGUCGCAGAGGCUCGACAGCCCGGGAAGGCUCUGCAGCUCAAGGUAUUUGAGGCAAGGGAAGCCAUGGACCGGUGCUUGCCCCCUGUCUUCUUCCCCAGCACCGCCGUCCUUCUUCUUGGUCCGAACGAUCUGUUUCAUGCCGCCGCAGUUGUUCACCAGGAUCCUCUCGAGGCAAGGCAGGUGCAUGGCCCAUGAAAUGUGCCUAAGACUCUGGCAGUGCACGACUGCCGGGUAGGUCAGCCUCGGAAAAAGAGGCUCUGGGACCACUCUCUUCCAGAUGAUCCCCUUCAGGCUGCGCAGGCUGUCAAGCGUGAGCGAUCUGAGCACGUCGAACUGGGAGACUGCUCCUUCCGUGCCGCUUCUCACCAGUAUCUGCUGCAUGCAGCACUUGUAGAUCGUCAGGUCGUAUAAGCUCGCUUGCACCGAGGAGCUCGAGAAGCAGCCAUCCAGGAAGCAGAAUGUUGGUGUCCCUGUCAGCCUGCUCAGAUGGAUGGAUCUAACAGGGAGGCCGGGGAACUUGCCUAGCAGUUCGUAUGCCGCGUCACCUUUGACCCCGAUCUCCACAGCUUUCAAGUUAUCCAGGAAGUCCAAUUCUGGGAACAAUGAUAGAGUAUAGUUUGCGUGUGUCGAGACCUGGGACGACAGGAGGUCAAGCACUUGCAGUUCCUGCAGCCUUGAUAUGGUGCCCUUUGGUACAGUGUGUAUCGGGUUGCCUCUUAGGUAUAGGAAUUUGAGCUUGGUGAGGUGUCGAAGGUCCUUGGGCAACUCAGUGAUGUAAUUGUAUGACAGGUUGAGGUACUCUAGAUCUCCCAGAGCACAGACUGCUAAAGGCAGAACACGAAUGUAGUUCUGACUCAAAUCUAGGUAUGUCAAUGAAGUGAAGAGGUAAAUAUUUCCAAGUGCCUUCUCGUUGAACUUAUUAGCUUGAAGAAGCAGUGUUGUCCUGAGUUCUGUGGAACCAGAACCAAGAAAACACUUGGAUCUGACACUGCAGCCCAUACUAUUUUCAUUCACGCCACCACCAAGAUAUGGAAGCUCUUCCAGUCCGUUGCCCAUCAUUGACAGAUACUCCACUCUGUUCCAAGGGAUGCACUUUCUAGACGCAGUUUUGCCGAUCGCUGCGUGAACGACCCAUUUGUUAUUGUUUUCACCGCAACCGCAAGAUAUCCAUAUCGCCAUAUCACGGAUCACAUCAUGCAUUUUGAGGUGCUUACUACUGUCCUCAGUACCUUCCAGCAAAGAUGCAGCUUGCAGGUGACCUAUUAUGUUGUAGCCUUCACUGUAAGAAGUCUGCAUGUCGCAUUUAUUAAGCAGACCUAAGCCCAUCCAACACUGGAUCAGAUCGUCUUUAGCAAUAGGAGAAUCUUCUGGCCAUGGAGAGCAAACCAGGAAACAACGUCUCAUGGUAUCAUUCCCUAAGCUAUCAUAGCUAAGUUUUAACUUGAAGUAAAUUGUGUUCUCCACAGACGUGGGAUCAUCCGCAUCGUGGCCAGAUCGUCGCAGUAGACGAAUAGCUGUUUCCCAUUCACCUGGAUCUUUCUUUGGAUGCAUUGCCUUUCCGGUAGCUAUCAACGCCAGGGGCAGGCCCUUUAGCUCCUUCACAAGCUCUCUUGAAAGGGCUCCAAGAGGAUGUGUGAUACCAGCUGCUUGCAAGUCCAACCGUUCCCAGAGGUCAUCCAGCAGUACAAGAAAACUCCUCCUGCUCAGCAAGUCAGAAAUGAUAUUGGCUUGAGACUCUUUCCUUAAGCUGAGUUUCUUUACUAUUUCAGCUUGGAUUUUCUCCACUGAACAAUCUUUUGAGGCUGUAACAAAAAUAACAACAUCGAAGAAAGAGUCUCCUAGAAAUGAGUUGUUGAUCUUCUUCAGAAGAUGAGUCUUUCCCACUCCACCUAGACCCCAUAUCCCAAUCAUUCCAACCGGAGAAUUCCUAAUGCACCUGGCAGCCUCCUGCAUAUUAUGCUCUUCACUGGGCAAUCCACUGGAUGAGACAGGCAUUUCUCGGACUGAUGGUGGCAGUGGCUGGAUUGCGACAACACUAGUGUCAAUCUUGGCAUACUCUUGGGCUUUCAGAAGCUCCUUUUCAGCACUCUUGCUGAUUUUGUAGUUUGACCAGCAAUUCAGAGAGAUGCACCCAAAAACUUGGCAUCUCUCGUCAUACACCUGCCUAAUUGCUUCUUCAUCAGACUUGAUGGCGUUCACAUUUUCAAGCCACUUCCGCACUUCAUUCUUUGCUGUCCUGCCAUUUCUCUCGGCAAUCUCAAUCUCAUACCGGACAUCGUUGCCCUUGGCGAUCAAACCCUCGGCUGCUUCUUUGAGAUGCUUCACGUUUCUGCUAGCCGUGAAGGGGUACAUUACAUGCUUGAAGACGAUAUGGUAAAUUGGAGUAAUCAGAGUGUUGACUAUAUAUGCCAACCACAUAUGCCAUUGUUGUAAGCCUGUAAGCAGCACAAGAAAAUAAAACGCCCUUGAGGAAGCUCUGCAAGGCAAAUAAUAUUUCUGUUAACUAGUGGUUCCUAGUGUGCAUGCAGUAGGACAUAUAGAUGGUAAGAGCCAGAGGAUGUCAAUGUGUUGAAGAACAUGUAUGGUACCUUCUCUUUUCGACUAAGCAAGUUUCGAAGAAGCGAUGAAGUACAAAAAUUCUUGUGAUAUGCUGCACGAAGAUGAGCCUUGGAGGUCAAUCUCGGUAUGUUCUUCACAGUGGCCAACAGUGAACACGGUUAUCAGACACAGAAAGUGCCCGAGUUGCUACUUUUUAGUAGGGUGGAGGAAAAUCUGCAGUUAUAAAGAAAAAAUAUAUUAAUAAUGACAUAAACAUGCUCUAUCUUUUGUGGGUAGGAAUAGGGUAAAGAAUCCUAGGAUUUUAAUCAGAGACAUGAGUUUCAGGGAUGAAUAGUUUGUUCCUUUUUAGAAAAAUAAAUGGCUCUCAAGUGGGUAAUCGAGUUGCUAGUCAAAUUCAGUCUAUUGUAGAGGCCCUCAAGUUUGUGUAUCAUUACUGCUACUUCCUCUUUGGCAAAAACUGGAUUGUGCCUGGUGGAUUUCUAUUUUAUUUGCUGUCGAAUCUUUUUGCAUAAGAAGAAAGAGCGCCGAAUCUUUUACACAAGCACCGCAUGCAUUCGCAUCGACCGACCGAUAACAAGAAGGAAAAAAAAUCUAAGAAUCUGAAAUUAAACGGCAAAUGAAAAGAAAAAGGGAAACUGAAUUGCCAGGUGGUCUUGUCUUGUGUGUAGCAACUGCUUCCUGCAGCCCUGAGCUCUGAUCCUCCUGCCAAUUGGCAUGUCAUAAGGAUGAUAAAGAGUUGCGCUGCGGCAAACCAAGCAAUCACAAUCAGGUAGUAACUUGAGAAGAUCCAAAGCGUCGCCAUGACCUCCAGUUGAUGUUGUUUGACCACCCUGGGAUGAUGCAGAUAUCCCAGAAUGCCCAAAAUGUCCCCAACCAGAAACCACGGUCUGCAAAUUCAGGUGACACUUGCGCAUGCUUGCUACCAUUCAUCACAGACAUAGUUUUAAUUAGCGCCCUAUCUAGUUCAUCCGCUAUAUAUAUAUAUCUUCUGUCCGGGUCAACUAUACAGAGUGGCACACACACAGAGGCAGACAGUACCCCGGAUUUGCAGACAGGAGACACAGAGAAGUGACUGAUGCCUGCCGCACGCGGAUGGAGCAGUCGGGUUCAAGCUCGCUCGCCCGAGGCUUCACCCAGCCAGAUCCGCUCGCUCGCUCGAGCAGCUGCUGCGGGGUCGGGUGUCGUUCUAGACAAGGGCCAGCGGGCAGUGAACCUGCGCUGAGCGCUUGCCCGCCGAUGGUGCUGCACUGCAAAAUGGCAAAUCCACCAAACCGCAGAUGGGCUCGCCGGUGGUGCUGCAGCAGAAUAAGCGCGUCUGCAGCAGCAAUGUGAACGACGGCGUGGCAGAGGAAUCUUCCUCCCUACUUCGUACCGAGCGACAAGGA